rnacentral:rRNA from 1 species
GAUGAACGCUGGCGGCGUGCCUAAUACAUGCAAGUCGAGCGAACAGACGAGGAGCUUGCUCCUUCGACGUUAGCGGCGGACGGGUGAGUAACACGUAGGUAACCUACCUAUAAGACUGGGAUAACUUCGGGAAACCGGAGCUAAUACCGGAUAAUAUUUCGAACCGCAUGGUUCGAUAGUGAAAGAUGGCUUUGCUAUCACUUAUAGAUGGACCUGCGCCGUAUUAGCUAGUUGGUAAGGUAACGGCUUACCAAGGCAACGAUACGUAGCCGACCUGAGAGGGUGAUAGGCCACACUGGAAAUGAGACACGGUCCAGACUCCUACGGGAGGCAGCAGUAGGGAAUCUUCCGCAAUGGGCGAAAGCCUGACGGAGCAACGCCGCGUGAGUGAUGAAGGUCUUCGGAUCGUAAAACUCUGUUAUUAGGGAAGAACAAACGUGUAAGUAACUGUGCACGUCUUGACGGUACCUAAUCAGAAAGCCACGGCUAACUACGUG